AAUUGAAUAGGGGAGGAUGUCAGUUAUUGCCUCCCUCCUGUGGUCACACCACAAGUGCACCUGCAGCAAGAAACUGGCAUUAAUCCUAUGAAAAGAACCACAUGCUCUUUUUAUUCUGAAAAGGCAAAUCCUAACAUUGGCUGUGCUUACUCAACUCCCAUCUUAGCUAACAGAUUACACAGAUGAAAAAGGAAAAAAAAGCUCUCUUAUAUGCAUAUUUAUUACUUACACACAUUUUUUUUGGCACUCAUCCGCUAGAUUUUUUUUUUUUUCCCCAGCAUUCAUUAAAAUCACGAUUUACGCAGAAUAUUAAACUAAGCCAUUUAUAGCUUUAAAUAAACCGUCCACAUUCCGGGUUCUCCAGCUGCUGUCAUCUCUCCGCUUCCCUUCAGCGACACAUUUCUUCUCUACCGAAAUCACAACCACAUCCAACGACAGUACAGAACCGAGAUCCAUUAAUUACGAUCGCCUUGGCUUACCUGAUUGCAAAAUGUGCGUCCGGGAUAAUACCAUUUUCUGAUCUGUUUUUGCAGGAGGAGGUGUUCGGCGUAAUCAUUUUUCUCUCUCACCCCCUCCAGCCGUAGUAAACUUGAAAUGGAACCUACAAUGAAGUGUGCAAAGUGGAUUGGAGUGCUGUAGAAAAAAAAAAAAUGAUGAUGUCUGGAAGCAGUGAACUGGGCAAUCUAUUAAAUAAGACAGCUGUUCAGCUAGCAGAGGUUUCUUGUCUGCUUCUAUGUAGUAUGACAGCUGAGCUGGCGAUCAGACUGAGAUUUUGCCUGCAGCGCCUGCUGUCGCAGGCCUCCCAUGCCCUGUAUUGUAAGGAGGGGAGUGAUAUGCACUUCAUCAUCUGUUGGCUCAAUUAACUCUUGGCUUGCUACGAAUAUCUCUUAGCCAAGGUACCAAACUGGCACAUCCGUUAUUAACAGGAAAACAUAAAGCUCCAAUUUUAAUUAUUUCAUUAAAAACAGAGAAAUGCAUUUUAUUAAACCAAUGGAUUUUACAGAUUCUUUUUUUCUGUAUAAAUAAAAAGGUUAUACGAUUAUUAAAUUCUCUUGUUACCUGCUGUAUGGCUUAAUUUUGUAUAUAUAAUUUGUUGCCGUGGAGAACUAAACACUAUCUUGGUUAAAGUUGCCAACAACAUAUUAUGAAGCAAAACGUGCAGAAAGCCUUGUGUUAUUAUGAGCUGUUCAUAAAAUGUGAUUUAUGUCGUUAGAGGGAAUGGAGAAACAUUAUAUUUUAUUAAGCCUUUAAAAAUAUACUCACCGCGCGAGAAACAUCUGUGGGUAUGUUUACACUGUGGAAACAUUAGCGCAUGGAAUUUAAAUUAAUAUGGUGUAAUGCAAGCCUAGCUUUUUAUCUAUAGGAUCUAUUUUCAGAAUUGUAUGAUCCGGCGGUUACUGCAUUUGAAUGAGCACCCUUACUUGUUGCUUUCUUUUUGUUUAGGCAAGUUGUGUUAUAAUUUAUAUUAUUCGUUUGGUAUAGUUUGUUUUACUAAAAUGCAAAUAAACCACUCUUUCUUUAUAUGAAAUCUGUUUUAUUGAAUGUGAAAUUUUAAUUUGGUGUUCUGUUCCAGUGAAUUUGUUUAUCGUGUUUUAAGCCCCUCAUUAAAACUGUUUGUAAUGUUUUGUGUGUCGGUGAGGCUGAUUGGAGUAGAAACUUUUAACUGUAUGUAGUGUGUUUCCAAUUUAAGGAAGGAUUAUGGUACAUUUUUGAGGCCGGAGUCAGAAAGUACAUUCCAAACACCACUCAGCUGAAAGGGUAAGGGUAUGGUCCAUCCAGUAAAAAUGUCCUCCUGUAAGCAUUGAAACUGUUGUAAGCCCAUUGUGAUUCAGCUCUGCAGUAU
rnacentral:lncRNA from 1 species